GAGACCUCAGGUCAGGCGGGGCUACCCGCUGAAUUU
rnacentral:rRNA from 1 species